AGAGUUUGAUCCUGGCUCAGAUUGAACGCUGGCGGCAUGCUUUACACAUGCAAGUCGAACGGCAGCACGGGUGCUUGCACCUGGUGGCGAGUGGCGAACGGGUGAGUAAUGCGUCGGAACGUACCGAGUAAUGGGGGAUAACGCGGCGAAAGUCGCGCUAAUACCGCAUACGCCCUGAGGGGGAAAGCAGGGGAUCGCAAGACCUUGCGUUAUUCGAGCGGCCGACGUCUGAUUAGCUUGUUGGUGAGGUAAAGGCUCACCAAGGCGACGAUCAGUAGCGGGUCUGAGAGGAUGAUCCGCCACACUGGGACUGAGACACGGCCCAGACUCCUACGGGAGGCAGCAGUGGGGAAUUUUGGACAAUGGGGGCAACCCUGAUCCAGCCAUGCCACGUGAGUGAAGAGGGCCUUCGGGUUGUAAAGCUCUUUCAGCUGGAGCGAAACGGUACGCUCUAACAUAGCGUGCUACUGACGGUACCAGCAGAAGAAGCACCGGCUAACUACGUGCCAGCAGCCGCGGUAAUACGUAGGGUGCGAGCGUUAAUCGGAAUUACUGGGCGUAAAGCGUGCGCAGGCGGAUUGUUAAGCAAGACGUGAAAUCCCCGGGCUUAACCUGGGAAUGGCGUUUUGAACUGGCAGUCUGGAGUGCGUCAGAGGGGGGUGGAAUUCCACGUGUAGCAGUGAAAUGCGUAGAGAUGUGGAGGAACACC
rnacentral:rRNA from 1 species